rnacentral:rRNA from 1 species
UGCCCGGUACAAAGGGACGCGAACCCGCGAGGGGGAGCCAAUCCCAAAAAGCCGGGCAUGGUUCGGAUUGCAGGCUGCAACCCGCCUGCAUGAAGUGGGAGUCGCUAGUAAUCGCGGGUCAGCCACACCGCGGUGAAUACGUACUCGGGCCUUGUACACACCGCCCGUCACAUCAACCGAGUCGGGGGUACCUGAAGUCGUCCGAAGAGGGCGCCUAGGGUACCCUCGGCGAGGGGGGUGAAGUCGUAACAAGGUAGCCGUAGGGGAACCUGCGGCUGGAUCACCUCCUUUCUAGGG